rnacentral:pre_miRNA from 1 species
AGUGGAAUUGCUGAGACAUAGGGUAACACUAUGUCUAAUAUUUUGAGGAACUGUCAAAGUUUUGCAAAAUGAAUUAUGCCUUUUUGCAUACCCCCCAGCAAU